rnacentral:rRNA from 1 species
UAGGGGCAAGCGUGUCGGAAUUUUGGGGGUAAAGACUUGUAGCGGUUUGUGCGUUUGUGUGAAUCUGGGGCUCACCCCCCCCCGCCGGGGGCCGGCAGCCAGAGGGGGUAGGGAGAUUGAAUUCCUGUGUAGCGGGGAAGCGCAGAAUCAGGAGGACACCGAUGGCGAGGCAGAUCUCGGGCCGUAAUGACGCUGAGGAGCGAAAGCAUGGGAGCGAACAGGAUUAGAUACCCUGGUAGUCCAUGCCGUAAACGGUGGGAACUAGAUGUAGGGGCCCUUCCCCGGUUUCUGUGUCGCAGCUAACGCAUUAAGUUCCCCGCCUGGGGAGUACGGCCGCAAGGCUAAAACUCAAAGGAAUUGACGGGGGCCCGCACAAGCGGCGGAGCAUGCGGAUUAAUUCGAUGCAACGCGAAGAACCUUACCAAGGCUUGACAUAUACCGGAAACGUCCAGAGAUGGUCGCCCCGCAAGGUCGGUAUACAGGUGGUGCAUGGUUGUCGUCAGCUCGUGUCGUGAGAUGUUGGGUUAAGUCCCGCAACGAGCGCAACCCUCGUUCUAUGUUGCCAGCACGUUAUGGUGGGAACUCAUAGGAGACUGCCGGGGUCAACUCGGAGGAAGGUGGGGAUGACGUCAAAUCAUCAUGCCCCUUAUGUCUUGGGCUUCACGCCUGCUACAAUGGCCGAUACAAAGGGCUGCAAUACCGUAAGGUGGAGCGAAUCCCAAAAAGUCGGUCUCAGUUCGGAUUGAGGUCUGCA